rnacentral:rRNA from 1 species
GCAUAUCAAUAAGAGGAGGAAAAGAAAAUAACAAUGAUUCCCCUAAUAACUGCGAGUGAAGAGGGACAAGCUCAAAUUUUAAAUCUAUCGGGUUUUACCUGAUCGAGUUGUAAUUUGAAGAAGCGUUUUCUGCGUAUUUGGUCAGCCUAAGCCCUAUUGAAUGAGGCAUCAUGGAGGGUGAUAAUCCCGUCCGGUUGAUCAUUUGCGUUUUACGAUACGCUUUCUAAGAGUCAAGUUGUUUGGGAUUGCAGCUUAAAAUGGGAGGUAAAUUUCUCCUAAGGCUAAAUAACGGCGAGAGACCGAUAGCGAACAAGUACCGUGAGGGGAAGAUGAAAAGAACUUUGAAAAGAGAGUUAAACAGUACGUGAAAUUGUUGAAAGGGAAACGAUUGAAGCCAGUCGUACCUUCGGGUAAUCAGCCUUUCGGGUGCGAUUCUGUGGAGUGUGAGGAGCUUAAACACCUUCAUGUUUUGCAUAUUCGUACUCUUGGGUGUACUUGCCCGUGUGGUUGGUUAACAUCAAUUUUGGUGGUCAUAAAAUGACUGGGGGAAUGUAGCUUCGAUCUUGUAUUGAAGUGUUAUAGCCUUCGGUAGAUGUGAUGAUCGAGAUUGAGGAUUGCAACGGAUACCCUUCGGGGCUACCUGUCUGAUCUCUGAUCGUUGCUUUGGUGCCGAAAGCUUGCUUACGGGUAUCAAAGUCGAUGGUCAAUAGGUUAGAACGGGUUAAAUUCGUUAAGGAUGUUGACGUAAUGGCUUUAAACGAC